rnacentral:miRNA from 1 species
UUUGAAGUUUUGAAACCAGGCACUGACUUCUCUCUAGCUAUGAAAGUCCUAGAUGGCGUCUUCAACUAGACGGCUAUCUCAUCUACUUUGAAAAUCUGUUGUUU